rnacentral:rRNA from 1 species
UGCGCAGGCGGAAGUCCAAGUCAGAUGUGAAAGAUCUCGGCUCAACCGAGGGACCGCGUUUGAAACUGGACAUCUAGAGUCAUGGAGGGGAAGCUGGAAUUCCUGGUGUAGGGGUGAAAUCUGUAGAUAUCAGGAAGAACACCGGUGGCGAAGGCGAGCUUCUAGACAAUGACUGACGCUGAGGCACGAAAGCGUGGGGAGCGAACA